UUGAUUUAGGAUUUAGGAUUUGGAUUAAGAUUUGAUUUAGGAUUUAGGGUUUCAUUAGGAUUUGAUUUAGGAUUUAGGGUUUGGAUUAGGAUUUGAUUAGGAUUUAUUUAGGGUUUAGAAUUUAGUUAGGAUUUGGUUUAGGAUUUAAUUAGGGUUUUAUUUAGGAUUUAGGAUUUUAUUAGGAUUUAAGAUUCAAUUAGUUUUGGCCUAAAGUUUUAAUGAAGUUCAAAAGUAUUUUAACUAGAAUUAAAUUAAGAUUGAAUUGAGAUAUAUUUGAGUGAUAUUUGUGAUCCUUCUAUUAUUUCUUUAAGAAUUCUUAUUUUUUGUUUGAAAUUUCUUUGAGGUUUUUUUGAAUUUGAUUAAGCUUGCUUAACAUUAUUAUUGUCUAAUUAGAGUAUUAUUAGUAUUAUAUUAGAAUUAAGAUUUUGUUAUUACAAUUUCUAUUCUUCCUUCUACAGCUAGGUGCC
rnacentral:lncRNA from 1 species